CGAAAUCUAUUUAGGUAGAGCGUCAGAUGAAUACUCCAGGGGGUAGAGCACUGAAUGGGCUAGGGGUCCUCACCGGAUUACCAAACCUUAUCAAACUCCGAAUACCUGGAAGUACUAUCUGGCAGACACACGGCGGGUGCUAACGUCCGUCGUGGAGAGGGAAACAACCCUGACCACCAAUUAAGGUCCCCAAAUAAUGGCUAAGUGUGAAAGGAUGUGGGAUUGCUCUGACAAUGAGGAGGUUGGCUUAGAAGCAGCCAUCCUUUAAAGAAAGCGUAACAGCUCACUCAUCAAGCGAUCCUGCGCCGAAAAUGUAACGGGGCUAAAGCCAUUUACCGAAAUUGUGGGCUUCUUUUAGAAGCGGUAGCGGAGCGUUCCGUAAGCCUGUGAAGGUGACCUGUGAGGGUUGCUGGAGGUAUCGGAAGUGAGAAUGUUGACAUGAGUAGCGACAAAGCGGGUGAGAGACCCGCUCGCCGAAAAUCCAAGGGUUCCUGCGUAAAGCUAAUCUGCGCAGGGUUAGCCGGCCCCUAAGGCGAGGCGGAAACGCGUAGCCGAUGGGAACCACGUUAAUAUUCGUGGGCCGAGGAGUGUGUGACGGAUUUCGAAAGUUGUCAUCCCUUAUUGGAUUGGGAUGGCGGCCUGGAAGUCCCAGGAAAUAGCCCUCCAUUAAGACCGUACCCUAAACCGACACAGGUGGAUAGGUAGAGAAUACCAAGGCGC
rnacentral:rRNA from 1 species